UCCCUGGAGGUCCAGUGGUUAAGACUUCACGCCUCCACUGCAGGAGGUGUGGGUUUGAUCCCUGGUGGGGAAACUAAGAUCCCACAUGCCGCGCGGCCAAAAAAAAAAAAGGACAGUAUCUCAGCCUUCUAGGCUGAAUCUCUUUGAGUACUAAGGAGGAUGAACAUAAAAUGAGCUCAUUUUCCUUUCAGAAGCCCCUGAAUGUGACAGUGAUCCGCAGAGGGGAGAAAUACCAGCUUAGACUCGUGCCAACACGCUGGGCGGGAAAAGGACUGCUGGGAUGCAACAUUAUUCCUUUGCAAAGAUGAUCGUCCCCGGGGAACAGAAACAGGAAAGCAUAUUGCCUUGCCCCAGACUUGGGUCUAGUGGGCAUUUCCUCCUUCUCUUCUCUUCCUGAAGCUCAAGGAUCUGGAAGAGGCUGGGAGCCUGAACUUCCAGGUGGCGGAAACGCUGUGGCCUCGAAGUGUGAUCUCUCGGGGAUUAACGCAUGGUUAAAAACUUGCUUUGUGUUUAGCAUCUUGCAAAUUAGGCCACGGCCCUAAAUGGGAGUCCUCUGGAUUGGGAGCAGGGGGGCGGGAGUUAUUCUGGCAGGUGCUGAUGUGACUUUGUUCUUCUAGAAAUUUUGUUUUUUUCCCCCAAAUAAACAGUUUUACAGUGUUGA